rnacentral:rRNA from 1 species
CCAAUAGCGUAUAUUAAAGUUGUUGCAGUUAAAAAGCUCGUAGUUGAAUUUCGGGGUCAGUAGGUUGGUCGUGCCACCGGUACGUACUGGUCUCACUGAUUCCUCCUUCCUGAUGAGCUGUAAUGCCAUUAAUUUGGUGUUGCAGGGAAUCUGGACUGUUACUUUGAAAAAAUUAGAGUGUUUAAAGCAGGCUAACGCUUGAAUACAUUAGCAUGGAAUAAUGAAAUAGGACGUUCGAUCCUAUUUUGUUGGUUUCUAGGAUUGACGUAAUGAUUAAUAUGGAUAGUUGGGGGCAUUAGUAUUCAAUUGUCAGAGGUGAAAUUCUUGGAUUUAUUGAAGACUAACUACUGCGAAAGCAUUUGCCAAGGAUGUUUUCAUUAAUCAAGAACGAAAGUUAGGGGAUCGAAGACGAUCAGAUACCGUCGUAGUCUUAACCAUAAACUAUGCCGACUAGGGAUCGGAUGAUGUUAAUUUUUUAAUGACUCAUUCGGCGCCUUACG